CUGCUGCCUUCCGUAGGAGUUUGGACCGUGUCUCAGUUCCAAUGUGGGGGACCUUCCUCUCAGAACCCCUACGCAUCGUCGGCUUGGUGGGCCGUUGCCCCACCAACUACCUAAUGCGCCGCAUGCCCAUCCGUGACCGGGGUCGCCCCUUUGGCCGGCAGGGGAUGUCCCCUCCCGGCAUUAUGCUGUAUUAGGCGGGAUUUCUCCCGGUUAUCCAUCUGUCACGGCCAGGUUGCAUACGUGUUACUCACCCGUGCGCCGGUCGCCGGCGG
rnacentral:rRNA from 1 species